rnacentral:rRNA from 1 species
AGUGAACGCUGGCGGUAGGCCUAACACAUGCAAGUCGAACGGCAGCACAGGAGAGCUUGCUCUCUGGGUGGCGAGUGGCGGACGGGUGAGGAAUACAUCGGAAUCUACUCUGUCGUGGGGGAUAACGUAGGGAAACUUACGCUAAUACCGCAUACGACCUACGGGUGAAAGCAGGGGACCUUCGGGCCUUGCGCGAUUGAAUGAGCCGAUGUCGGAUUAGCUAGUUGGCGGGGUAAAGGCCCACCAAGGCGACGAUCCGUAGCUGGUCUGAGAGGAUGAUCAGCCACACUGGAACUGAGACACGGUCCAGACUCCUACGGGAGGCAGCAGUGGGGAAUAUUGGACAAUGGGCGCAAGCCUGAUCCAGCCAUACCGCGUGGGUGAAGAAGGCCUUCGGGUUGUAAAGCCCUUUUGUUGGGAAAGAAAUCCAGCUGGCUAAUACUCGGUUGGGAUGACGGUACCCAAAGAAUAAGCACCGGCUAACUUCGUGCCAGCAGCCGCCGUAA